rnacentral:tRNA from 1 species
AGGGGAAUGGCAGAAAAGUGCCUUAGUCCUAAGAUCUAACAAUGAGGCAAUCUGCCUCUUCCCCCA